rnacentral:rRNA from 1 species
CUGCAGCCCGAGUGGUGAUCGAUUUUAUUGAGCCUAAAGCGUCCGUAGCCGGACUAGUAAACCCUUGGGUAAAUUAGGCAGCUUAACUGUCCAAAUUCCGAGGGGACUGCUAGUCUUGGGACCGGGAGAGGUCAGAGGUACUCAAGGGGUAGGGGCUAAAUCCUGUAAUCCUUUGGGGACCACCAGUGGCGAAGGCGUCUGACUAGAACGGAUCCGACGGUAAGGGACGAAACCCUGGGGCGCGAACCGGAUUAGAUACCCGAGUAGUCC